UUGGCGGUAACCCAAAGGACUUGGCGGUGCCUCAGACCCACCUAGAGGAGCCUGUCCUAUAACCGAUAAUCCCCGUUUAACCUCACCACUCCUUGCCAACCCAGUUUAUAUACCACCGUCUCCAGCUUACCCCAUGAGAGAACAACAGUAAGCUAAAUGGGCCCCGCCCAAAACGUCAGGUCGAGGUGUAACCAACGCAGUGGGAAGAGAUGGGCUACAUUUUCUGA
rnacentral:rRNA from 1 species